UUUCAGAGACUUCUUUCACUCUCAGAAAUAUCCUCGGACCAAGUCUCUGUUCCGUCCUGCCCGGCGUGACUUGAGGACUUACUGUGUUAUAUUCAAAAGCUCCAGGAGUGUAUUCCUGAAUUGAGAGGUCCAGAACACAAGAUCGGACUGUUACUGAAUUCAAGCUCCCUCUGCUCCGUGGUGCUGAGGCAAGGAAUACGACUUGAUUCGGAAAGCCGGCAGACCAACAAGAUGGCAGACAUUUGUCUCCAAAAAACCAUCUUAUGGGGACAGCCUUAGAGUAGCAGAGAGGACCUAAGGAUUGCCUACUAUCAAGCCGUGAUAAUCUCUGCGCUUCAGUUUCUUGCUCUGUAAAUUGGAUGAGCUAACCCCUGCAUGGUGGGGUAAAGCCA